rnacentral:rRNA from 1 species
GAUUUAGAACAGUUGAGCCUGCACAUGUAGGAAGUUAAACAGGAUGGGGUCUGGUUAGCACUUGGAUGGGAGUCUGCUUGGGAACACCAGCUAUUGUAGACCC